ensembl:lncRNA
CCGCCCCGCCGCCGCCCUUUGUCCGCCGCGAGCCGGAGCCGCCGCCGGAGCCUCCGGAGCCGCCGCCGCCGCCGCCUCUGUGUCUCGCUGGCUCCCCCUUCCCCGACCACACCCCCUUAAAGGGCCCGCCUCGCUGCGGGCCGCCCCCUCCCCAGGCCGGGCCGCCCUCCGCGCUCGGACCCGGGCCCGCCCCCGGCCCCCCCUCAGCCCGGGCCCCCGGCGCCCCCGGCCUCAGGCUGCGGGGAGCCCCGAUGCGGAGCGGCUGGGGGCGGGGGGCGUCCUGCCUCUGUCGCUGACUGCCCUCUGCCCGCGCCGCGCGGCGGAGGUGAGAGACCACGGGGGGCGGGGGCGACCGGUACCGCUGGGCCGGGCUCGGGGGUCUGCGGGAAGGGGCCCCUAAGAUGGCUGCGCCCCGGGCAGUCUGGGCAAUGUAGUUCCGAGGGUCUGCGCUGGGCCGCCCAUCCCCCCACCGGACGCUCAGGCCCCUCCCCCCAGGGUCUCCUAGCUCCGGAAGAGCGUUGGGAGCCGCGACGCGGCCCGGGGCCCACGCGGGCUCGGGCCUUGGCGGAGCGCCUCCCGCGGCGGGCCGUGGCGCCCUCUGCCCGGGGGCCCCGGAACUGGCGGCUGCUGGUCCGCCCGGCAAAGCCGCCCAGGGCCCGGCCGCUCCCCGCUCAGCUCGUAUCCCCGGCGGGGAACUGAGGCACCCGGGCCGCCCGGCGGAAGCGCCCGGCGCCCCCCAGCGGCCUCAAGGCGAAGCGCCCCGCGUCCCCCCUGCUGCCGGGAGGGCUCUGAAUCGCCGUCGGGCAUUUGGCAGAGCCGCAGCAGCAGCAGUGACCGAGUGGAACUGGCCGGAGCCCGAAUGGCGGCGGAGACGACUUAGGAGCCCGCGGUGUGCCCGGACAGGCCCGAGCUGGGGCAAGGCCCAGGGACUGUCCGGGGCCAGGAACGGCCACAGAAGCAGGGUGGGCGAGCGGGGAGGAAGCCGGAGGCUCCGGAGAAACGUCUGCCCUCUGCUCCCGGCUCCGCCAGGCCUUUCAUGAACUGGAGGGAGCGGCCCAAGGGGAGGCCCCGGACUUGGGACCUCCGGUCAGCGCCCAACCCAGUUCUAGAGGAGUCCGUGAAAGGGGCUGCCCGAGGAGAGAGCUGGGGACCCUCGGGGCCCAUGGCGCCGCCUUUUCUUCCUUUCACUUUCCCUGUUUGUGCACGGGCUCAUGCGGGAGGAUGGUCGGUGGUUGUAUGUUUGCGGUUUGCUUUUUUUGCCUUCUCCAUGUGUGGGGGAAGGAAGAGAAAGAAUUCAGAACUAAAAUAAAAUAAAACUGAAUUUUAGAAAUCAAUUGAGACUUUUUUUAGUGGCGCAGGAGAUAAGUUGCUGGGACUGGAGUAAAAAAAGGGAAUUCAGAUCCACUUUUGGAUACUUACUGGCUAUGUGGCGCUGGUCGGAUUGUUCCACCUCAGACGGCCUCAGUCUCCUCCUCUGUGAAAUGGGGGCAUCUCAUAUUUGCGGAGCACCUGGCGGCAGCAGGCAUUCUGUCACAUAAAUCCCAUCAAAGCAUGAUCAAGACUCCCUUCAGUUCUGACCUGAUGUGGGUCAUUUCACUCCAAGAAGACAAGGACUUGUCCAAAGUCACCGGCAAAGCGGGGACUCUGAACUCAAGGCCCAUCCGCUUUGAGCCGUGCUUGUCACCUCCACGAUGGACAUUUUCGAAGUCUGCUGGACCCGGUCUCCUCUGAGGCUCCCGAUCUCCCUCCAGCCCAGUGUCCCCGACUCCAGGCCUCCCUCCCCUUUCGGUAACUUCCCCAGUGUGUGUGGGGGGGAACAAAGGACAAAAUGAGGAGAGGAAUGGGAACUGUGCCCCCAGCCCACGUGGGCAGAGAGCCGCUGGGUCGCAGCAGCCCCCACUCCCAAGCCUGGGGAGGGCCUGGCCCUGCUGGGAGGCUGGUUCCGGGUGGCCGAGGGAUCAGUCUGAAGUCAGAGACGCUUCCAGGAGAAGGACCGAGGCUGGAGGCCGAGGCCCGCUCCCUCUUUCCUGGCGGGGUCUCCACCCUUAAAAGCUGGGCUGUUGGACUGGUCAGUCACUGGGGGGGAGGGGCUGGAAGGCUCCCUGGAGGAGGGGGAUGGUGGUAGCCGCAAAUGUCACCCAGGAAGCCCUUUUCC